rnacentral:rRNA from 1 species
UAGGGAAUAUUGGACAAUGGGGGCAACCCUGAUCCAGCCAUGCCGCGUGAGUGAAGAAGGCCCUCGGGUUGUAAAGCUCUUUUGUCCGGAAAGAAAAGCAUUCGGUGAAUACCCGGAUGUUCUGACGGUACCGGAAGAAUAAGCACCGGCUAACUUCGUGCCAGCAGCCGCGGUAAUACGAAGGGUGCAAGCGUUACUCGGAAUUACUGGGCGUAAAGCGUGCGUAGGUGGUUGUUUAAGUCUGAUGUGAAAGCCCUGGGCUCAACCUGGGAAUGGCAUUGGAAACUGGGCAGCUAGAGUGCGGUAGAUGGUAGUGGAAUUCCCGGUGUAGCAGUGAAAUGCGUAGAGAUCGGGAGGAACAUCUGUGGCGAAGGCGACUGCCUGGACCAGCACUGACACUGAGGCACGAAAGCGUGGGGAGCAAACA